AACGUAGGAGGCGAGCGUUAUCCGGAUUUACUGGGCGUAAAGCGCACGCAGGCGGCUUCGUUAGUCGGAUGUGAAAGCUCCUGGCUUAACUGGGAGAGGCCAUUCGAUACUGCGGGGCUUGAGGUUGGGAGAGGGGUGUGGAAUUCCCGGUGUAGUGGUGGAAUGCGUAGAUAUCGGGAGGAACACCAGUGGCGAAGGCGGCUGCCUGGGGCUUUGCUGACGCUGAUGCGCGAAAGCGUGGGGAGCGAACAGG
rnacentral:rRNA from 1 species